UUUCUCAACCAUGAGAAAAUCCUGGAGCUCAGAAUCUCCGCUCUUACUGCCGCUCGAAAAAUCAGACAGAUCGCUCAUGUUUAAUCAUAUACUAAAUAUG